GUCGUACGCGAAAGGGACUUCGGUCCUGAGUAGAGUGGCGCACGGGUGAGUAACACGUAGUUAACUUUCCCUCUCGCUGGGGAUAACUCCGGGAAACCGGAGCUAAUACCGAAUGAUCUGACGGGGUCUGCGGACCCUUUCGGUAAAGCCGUAAGGCGCGAGAGGAUAGGGCUGCGUUCCAUUAGCUAGUUGGCGGGGUAAUGGCCCACCAAGGCUACGAUGGAUAGCUGGUCUGAGAGGAUGAUCAGCCACACUGGAACUGACACACGGUCCAGACUCCCACGGGAGGCAGCAGUUGGGAAUAUUGGACAAUGGGGGAAACCCUGAUCCAGCGACGCCGCGUGAGUGAUGAAGGCCUUCGGGUCGUAAAGCUCUUUUAGUGGGGAAGAAGGGAAACUUGACUGUACCCACAGAAAAAGCACCGGCUAACUCUGUGCCAGCAGCCGCGGUAAUACAGAGGGUGCAAGCGUUGUUCGGAAUUAUUGGGCGUAAAGCGCGUGUAGGCGGCCAUUUAAGUCUGGUGUGAAAUCCCUCGGCUCAACCGAGGAAGUGCAUUGGAUACUGAAUGGCUAGAGGAUGAGAGAGGAGAGUGGAAUUCCAGGUGUAGGGGUGAAAUCCGUAGAUAUCUGGAGGAACACCAGAGGCGAAGGCGGCUCUCUGGCUCAUUUCUGACGCUGAGACGCGAAAGCGUGGGGAGCAAACAGGAUUAGAUACCCUGGUAGUCCACGCCCUAAACGAUGGAUACUAGUCGUCGGAGUUCCUAAUCGCUCCGGUGACGAAGCUAACGCAUUAAGUAUCCCGCCUGGGAAGUACGGUCGCAAGAUUAAAACUCAAAGGAAUUGACGGGGGCCCGCACAAGCGGUGGAGCAUGUGGUUUAAUUCGAUCUACGCGAAGAACCUUACCCAGACUUGACAUCCCGCGCAUAGCCGUGAAAGCGGUGAAUUCCCUUCGGGGACGCGGUGACAGGUGCUGCAUGGCUGUCGUCAGCUCGUGUUGUGAGAUGUUGGGUUAAGUCCCGCAACGAGCGCAACCCUCGUCGCUAGUUACCAUCAUUAAGUUGGGCACUCUAGCGAGACCGCUGAGCUAUAAGCCAGAGGAAGGUGGGGAUGACGUCAAGUCCUCAUGGCCCUUAUGUCUGGGGCUACACACGUGCUACAAUGGAAAGGACAAUGCGUUGCAAGCCGGCGACGGCAAGCUAAUCGCAAAAAAACUUUUUUCAGUUCGGAUUGGAGUCUGCAACUCGACUCCAUGAAGCUGGAAUCGCUAGUAAUCGUGGAUCAGAACGCCACGGUGAAUACGUUCCCGGGCCUUGUACACACCGCCCGUCACACCAUGGAAGUUUGCUACACCGGAAAACGCCGAGCUAACCCGCAAGGGGGGCAAGCGUUUAUGGUUUGGCCGAUGACUGGGGUGAAGUCGUAACAAGGUA
rnacentral:rRNA from 1 species